GCAAGUCGAACGACCCUUGUAUUUAUAUAAGGGGAGUGGCAAACGGGGUAGUAACAGGUAGGUACAUACACAUGAGUCAGGGAUAACUGCAGGAAACUGUAGCUAAUACCUGAUAGUUCUCUACGGAGUAAAGAUUUAUCGCUCAUGAAAUGGCCUGCUCGGUAUCAGCUAGUUGGUAGUGUAAAAGACUACCAAGGCGACGACGCCUAGGGGAGGUGAGAGCCUGACC
rnacentral:rRNA from 1 species